GUGUUCAUCUUCCUCAAGGGGAAUCAAGCACAUGAGAGUUUGCAACAGUCAUCAUCUACCUAGGUUCUUCAUCAGGAAGAGCGUGAUCUUGAUAUUGGGGGAUCUAGAGUCUUCCUAAGAAAUAUUUUUACUGAGACCAACUUGAGCUUACUGUGUAUGGUGUUUGGCAACAGCUAUUCUCAUUCGGAUAGUCAUUCUGUUAAUGAAUUAUCUCCUGAUCUAAUGCUUUCUAUGAAAUCAAAAGUAUGCCCUCAUGAAAACAUGCUUUUAGUUCAUCACUGCCAUGAGGCUUUUCUGAUCUCCAUAACUAUUAAUGCACAGUAGUUGAUUGAAAAGAGUUUGGAUUUAUGUUGUAGAGAAAUGCAUGUGGAUCUCCAGGAUGGCUUUCAUGCUGUCUAAAAAUGGCAAAAAUAUCUUGUGUCCGUAUGAAAAGCUCUCCAUCCAAUGUAGUAAAUACCAAUGUGGAAACAUUCAUAGCUGCUAGUAUGUAUAUUUUGCUAAGAAUACAGGGUAAUCAAUUUUCAGUAAGUGAAUAGAACAGAAGGCUAAAAGUUUGCCUUCCAUGGAA